UUCUAAGUCCUGCCCCCCAGGGCCUCUGGUGUCUUACCCAGGUGUGCCACUCACAUGGGGUAUCUAUGUUAACCUUGGCUGGCUGGCUGGCUGGCUAGGGCAGUCUGUCAGGUUUUGCCACUGUAAAGUAACUCUUUUAUCCCCCUUUCCAUUCUGGAAGGAAGUCACUGUGCACAGCCCACGCUGAUGGAGGAGGCAUCCUCAACUUCCAUUUACUGAGUUUGGCAACUUUGCCUGUCACACCAACACAUUCCAAGUAUUCCCUAGAUCCAUGAGGCUUCUGACAAUCACAGUAGACAGCGCAGCUCCACUCUAGAACAUCAAGGAGAAGCAAAUACCCACACAUCAGUCACUCAGGUGGUGAAGCCCUCUAUUGUCCUGACCCCACAGUUCCUGUCCCAUGACCAGGACCAGUGCACCAAGGAGCUGCAGCAGCAUUUAAAGUCAGUGCCAUCUUCCAUGCGAGUACCUGAGGAAGGUGACUGAGCACAGACAGAUGGGGCCCGGUGCCCUUGAACAGUUCCUGGGUCUCUGUGCCCCACAUCUCACAGGGGGCCAUGCUGGGGGAAGUGUAGGCAGUCACAGUACUGGCUUUUCCCUCCUUUUCCUUUCAUGCAAGUGGCUUAGGGAUGGGGUAGAGUACUUGACUUAUUUGGAUAAAAACCACUAUCUUGGUCAGAAACUC